rnacentral:misc_RNA from 1 species
AAUUCUCAACUCUCUUCAGCUUUGUCUGCAGAGUUUUGGAAUUGGAGGUUUGCAGGCCUUGUAUACAUAGGUCAGCUCCUCUGAAAUGCAUUAGUGGAACCGUUUGCAGUUUGUCCACAGGUGUGAUAAUUAUCUACGCCAUAUGUGACUGCUCUCUGUUAUUGUUCUGCUUCCAAUCGUCCACAAGGACAAACUUUAUUACUGAAC